rnacentral:miRNA from 1 species
CAGCAGACACAUUCCAGCCAAUCAGCAGCAGACCCUCCCUCUCAGACCAUCCCACCUCCUGGACAGCUCACUAAGAAUGCAGCUUCACAAUGAAUGUAAAAUGGAUGCUGUCCAGGAGGUGGGAGGGUAUGGGAGGGAGGGUCUGCUGCUGAUUGGCUGGAAUGUGUCUGCU